AUUUUAAUAUUUCAAAGAGAAUAUAGGAUUGUAAGUCCUAAGGUGGUGCAAACCUUAGAUUU
rnacentral:tRNA from 2 species